CAUUUACCUCCUUUCUUUUUUCACUUCUUUUUUUUUCAUUUUUUUCCAAGAUCAUUCACCCUAAUAGUCUCUAAGGCUUCGUUUGGCUCGGGAUUAAGUAAGAACUAAUUAUUCAAGGAAUAGGGUUAAGUUCAGGGUUAAGGCGGGGUUAGAGUAAUUUUGUGUUUGGUUGAGAAAUGGGUUUAGUCCAAAUAUAAGUAAAAUAGUGUUUGAUUAGAGUAGAUAGAAUAAGAAAGAUAGUGAAUUGUUAUAAAUAGAAAAUAAUAAUUUACUCCAAUUUAUAUAUUUGAAUUUAAAUUUUUUAUUUUAUAUUAAAAAUUUUAAAUUUUAAUAGAUAAUUUUUAAAAUUAAAAAAAAUUAAAUUUAAAAUUUAUUUUGAAAUCUCAAAUUUAAAAAUUUAAAGUUAUAAAAUUUAAAUCAAAUCUAACAAAUAUAAAAUUUAAAUUUUAAAAUUUAAAAUUUAAAAUAAAUAUUAAUUUUAAGAUUGCAAAUUAUACAUUUUUAAAAUUUCAAAUAUAAAAUAUCAAAUUUAAAAUUUAAAUAAUUAAAACUAAAAUUUAAAAUUUAUAUUUAAAAAUUAAAUUGGGGUGGGAUUAA
rnacentral:lncRNA from 1 species